rnacentral:lncRNA from 1 species
GAUACUACUUUACCAUUUCUUAAGUUACUAACCAAAUCACUAUAGUGUGAAACAAUUUAUAACAUCAAUUACUACUUGUAAGUUGUAACCAUAUUAUAUAUAUAUAUGUAAAUCAAAUACAAAACGAACACGACAGUUUUUUUUUUUUUUUUUUGCCGAAUACAAAUCCUUUGGAAUAUGUACGUACCGUCUUACAUAUUGUAGCAACUAAAUGUAUAUUUUUUCAUAGGAUUAAUAUUAUCAUCCUAAUUAUAUAAAUAAUACUACGUACGUAUACUUGUUACAUAAUAACUUAUUACAUGAAAAAGGGAAUAUAAAAGAGAAUAUGAUAAUAUAUCAAAUUUGGGGGGGUGCACGAUCCAUCCAUCGACCGACUUGAAAUAAAUGGGAAGGUAGAGAGAGUACAGAGAGAUGUACAGUUGUAACACAUUAGUGUGGGGAAUAGAUUGAUAUAUAGAUAGGAGGAGAAUUGCAUAUAUAUAUAUAACAUUAACAUCUCCCUCAUUCAAUUUUGUUUUCGUCAUUAAACUCCCAAUUUAUAUAAUGUUUCAACUUCAUACCAGCGAUAUUUCUCCAAAUCAAUAUAUAAAUGUUUUUUUGUUUUUUUUUUUUUGCAUAUAUAUAGGCGACUUUUAAAAUAUGUAUAUCACCGCCAAAAUACAAUAACUACGAAUUUGAAUGUACGUACCGGUUUUUCUAACGACAUUUUUCUAUUUUAUAAACUUUAUUUUUC